GGAUGUGAGGACGAUCUACCUGCGACAUCUGUCACCUCAUUGAUCUUCAGGGUUAAUUCGGCUGAUCUGGCUGGCUAGCCAGGUGUGCCCUUCUUCCCUCGAUGGUCCAUGUGCAUCCCUCCCCAAGCUGCGCACUUAGUGGAAGAGGAUGAACACCCCGCUCCAUAGAGGAGGACCCUUCCUUGGUCAAGGGUAUACAAGUAGCUGAGCUCCCCUGCCAGAACCUCCAAACAACGUCUCAAUAAAAUAAUUACAUUUAUUAUAAAAGAAUAAAUUAGAAAUUAAUUUGAUGAAGAAGUAUAAGAUUCGUAUUCUGAAAACUACAAAAAGUUGAGCGACCACAAGAAGUGGAAAGAUAUUUCUU
rnacentral:snRNA from 1 species